GAUGAACGCUGGCGGCGUGCUUAACACAUGCAAGUCGAACGAAGAGGCCCAGCUUUUGGGGCGGAUUCGUGAGGAGCGGGCGAGUGACACACGAGAGCAUACCUCUCCUACAGGUGUGAUAUCGCCAAGCGAAAGCGGAUACCACAGAAUAUAAUAUACUGCAUCGUUGGGUUGUGUAGGAAGGUUCGGCUGUUGGGUAUAGACUGGACGGGGCCGCGUUAGCUUGUUGGGUAGGUAACGGCUUAGCAAGGCAAGGAUGCGUAGCCGACCUGAGAGGGUGAUCGGCCACACUGGAACUGAGACACGGUCCAGACUCCUACGGGAGGCCGCAGUAGGGAAUCUUCCGCAAUGGGCGAAAGCUUGACGGAGCAACGCCGCGUGAGUGAUGAAGGUCUUCGGAUCGUAAAACUCUGUUAUUAGGGAAGAACAAAUGUGUAAGUAACUAUGCACGUCUUGACGGUACCUAAUCAGAAAGCCACGGCUAACUACGUG
rnacentral:rRNA from 1 species